UGGGGAAGAUGAAGAAACACUGUUUUGGGUAGUUUUGUAAAUCCAAACCCAAUUUUGUGUAUUUUUGUUAAUUGAAACAAUAGGUGGAUAGUUUUGUAAAAGAAAACCUGAUUUUGUGUAAUCUUGU